GUGGGGAAUCUUGCGCAAUGGGCGAAAGCCUGACGCAGCGACGCCGCGUGGGUGAUGAAGGCCUUCGGGUUGUAAAGCCCUGUGGGGAGGGACGAACAAGCUGCGACCUAACACGUCGUGGCCUUGACGGUACCUCCUUAGCAAGCACCGGCUAACUCUGUGCCAGCAGCCGCGGUAAGACAGAGGGUGCAAACGUUGCUCGGAAUUACUGGGCGUAAAGCGCAUGUAGGCGGCUUCGUAAGUCGAUUGUGAAAUCCCUCGGCUUAACCGAGGAAGGGCAGUCGAUACUGCAGAGCUAGAGUACCGGAGAGGGUCGUGGAAUUCCUGGUGUAGAGGUGAAAUUCGUAGAUAUCAGGAGGAACACCGGCGGCGAAGGCGGCGACCUGGACGGAUACUGACGCUCAGAUGCGAAAGCGUGGGUAGCAAACAGGAUUAGAUACCCCAGUAGUCC
rnacentral:rRNA from 1 species